GAUGAACGCUGGCGGCGUGCCUAAUACAUGCAAGUCGAGCGAACGGACGAGAAGCUUGCUUCUCUGAUGUUAGCGGCGGACGGGUGAGUAACACGUGGAUAACCUACCUAUAAGACUGGGAUAACUUCGGGAAACCGGAGCUAAUACCGGAUAAUAUUUUGAACCGCAUGGUUCAAAAGUGAAAGACGGUCUUGCUGUCACUUAUAGAUGGAUCCGCGCUGCAUUAGCUAGUUGGUAAGGUAACGGCUUACCAAGGCAACGAUGCAUAGCCGACCUGAGAGGGUGAUCGGCCACACUGGAACUGAGACACGGUCCAGACUCCUACGGGAGGCAGCAGUAGGGAAUCUUCCGCAAUGGGCGAAAGCCUGACGGAGCAACGCCGCGUGAGUGAUGAAGGUCUUCGGAUCGUAAAACUCUGUUAUUAGGGAAGAACAUAUGUGUAAGUAACUGUGCACAUCUUGACGGUACCUAAUCAGAAAGCCACGGCUAACUACGUGCCAGCAGCCGCGGUAAUACGUAGGUGGCAAGCGUUAUCCGGAAUUAUUGGGCGUAAAGCGCGCGUAGGCGGUUUUUUAAGUCUGAUGUGAAAGCCCACGGCUCAGCCGUGGAGGGUCAUUGGAAACUGGAAAACUUGAGUGCAGAAGAGGAAAGUGGAACUCCAUGUGUAGCGGUGAAAUGCGCAGAGAUAUGGAGGAACACCAGUGGCGAAGGCGACUUUCUGGUCUGUAACUGACGCUGAUGUGCGAAAGCGUGGGGAUCAAACAGGAUUAGAUACCCUGGUAGUCCACGCCGUAAACGAUGAGUGCUAAGUGUUAGGGGGUUUCCGCCCCUUAGUGCUGCAGCUAACGCAUUAAGCACUCCGCCUGGGGAGUACGACCGCAAGGUUGAAACUCAAAGGAAUUGACGGGGACCCGCACAAGCGGUGGAGCAUGUGGUUUAAUUCGAAGCAACGCGAAGAACCUUACCAAAUCUUGACAUCCUUUGACAACUCUAGAGAUAGAGCCUUCCCCUUCGGGGGACAAAGUGACAGGUGGUGCAUGGUUGUCGUCAGCUCGUGUCGUGAGAUGUUGGGUUAAGUCCCGCAACGAGCGCAACCCUUAAGCUUAGUUGCCAUCAUUAAGUUGGGCACUCUAAGUUGACUGCCGGUGACAAACCGGAGGAAGGUGGGGAUGACGUCAAAUCAUCAUGCCCCUUAUGAUUUGGGCUACACACGUGCUACAAUGGACAAUACAAAGGGCAGCGAAACCGCGAGGUCAAGCAAAUCCCAUAAAGUUGUUCUCAGUUCGGAUUGUAGUCUGCAACUCGACUACAUGAAGCUGGAAUCGCUAGUAAUCGUAGAUCAGCAUGCUACGGUGAAUACGUUCCCGGGUCU
rnacentral:rRNA from 1 species